CCUGAGAAACCCGAAAGAUCGAAUGGGGAGAUUCAUCGUCAGCGAUCCUGGUGCGUGUGCGGUUCGCGAUUCCGGGGACUUCGGUCUCAUGGCACGCGUCCRCAUGUUUUUUAUUGCCAGGUAUCGUCGGCGUGCACUUCUCCCCUAGUAGGACGUCGCGACCCGUUGGGUGUCGGUCUACGGCCCGGGUGGACGCCUGUCUCGUGUGCGCUUCACGGCGUUACGCGGGUCAGACCCCCGGUUGCCUGGCCGGCUGCCCGGCGGUACUCGCACGGUAUCUGGCCGCAAUUAUUUGAACUGCGUCCGGCCCGUCGCAAGCGAGGCAAGUGUUUUCCCGGAUGUACGGAUCUAAUGCCGUCACCGGGCCUUGCCAGCUGUUGGUUGACGGUGUCCUAGGACUGGCUAUUGCAAUUAUGAUACCGGUCGGCGACGCUACUGCUUUGGGACUUUCAGGA
rnacentral:rRNA from 1 species